rnacentral:rRNA from 1 species
CAGAAGUAGGUAGCCUAACGCAAGAGGGCGCUUACCACGGUGUGGUCGAUGACUGGGGUGAAGUCGUAACAAGGUAGCCGUAGGGGAACCUGCGGCUGGAUCACCUCCUUAACGAA